rnacentral:misc_RNA from 1 species
CCGACGUCAAGGAGGAGG